UGAUACAUCUUUAUUCUAUCAAAAUUAAAAUAUGAUAGAUUUAUUAUUCUUCAACAACAAUGAAAAAUCUUAAAUCAUGGAGAUUACAACUUUACCACCUCUUUUAGUUCAAUCUUUAAUUUAAACCUUCCACAAUGCUUAAAUGAUAAGCUUCAGCACAAUCUUGACAAUUCAAACAAAACCAAAAAUAAAAAAAUCAUAAGUCAAAGCUAACAAUGUAUAUAA
rnacentral:lncRNA from 1 species